AGCAGGUUUGCCGUUCUGCCUUGCUGAAGGAGUUCUUGUGAUGCGUCCCUGAAGCCAAAAAAGAUGGGAGUUCUGGAUCCAGUCGCUUCUCCCCACAGCGACCUCUGCUCUCCAUGCGGCCUGUGGAAGUCAGAGCGCUCUCAGAAGAAUAAGAAGACCCUUGUGUGUAAAACCCCAGGUGCUCCCAGAGCUCUGAUCUGCACAGUUCUCAUUCUCUGCUCAGUGAGCUGGCAGGGAUCCCAGGCUGAAAUUCCUGCAGUUGCAGGGGAAGGCGACUGGGAUAUUGAAUCCAGUGGCUCAGUGUUGAGGCACAGCCAGAGGUCAGCCGGCCAUGAGCUCCAAAGGAGAGAGACGGAGCAGAACAACAACCUCCGCCAGGGCAAGGAAGGAACUAUCUUCGGUGCUAACAGAGGCAUGGAAAGGGAAAAGAAAACAAACGCGUCCUGUGAGUCCCUCUUGCGCCUGUCACAACAAUACAUGCUGGCCAAAGCUUUCAGAAAAACUCUGGCUCUGGAUCUGCUGCCCCCAUUGAGCUGUGAGGAGUGGCUCUCUGCACACCACAACCCGGUUAACCCUCUGAAACGCGCUCCACUGGCUGACAAGCCGUGGCUUUUUCAGCAGGCCUUGCUCUUCCUGAGGGAAGGAGGCAGGCGGACUUCAGCCCAACAGGCUGAAGUGUUUCCUGCUCUGCAGAAACAACUCAUUCAAAGUCCAUACAAGCCCUCCUUGAGGCCGAUCUUCAAAAACGAUGGUAGGUACCUAUCUGUCUGAGGAACGUUACACAUUUAUACACACCCUUCAUGAACUGUUCUAAUAGAAUAAGCAAAGACACCGCAGGUAUGCAUCAAGAUAUUCCAAUUGUUAUGAAUCAAAUAUUUGUUGUAAAAAUGUAAGAAAAUGAAUAGUUCGAAAAUAAUUGCACACCCAGUGCCUCGCUAAGGUAUUCAGACACUUGCUCAUUUUUCACUUUUUGUUGCUUUAAAACUGGCAGUCAUGACCAGUUUCCAUCCAUCCAUUUUCAGGGUUGAAGGGCAGCAAGAGUUUUCUAGCCAACUAACGGGCACAUGGUGGGGUACUCCCUGAUUAUGAUGCCUGUCCAGCGCAGGGCACACACAGACACAAACAUGUUCAAACUAGGGCCAGUUUGUGCAGAAGCCAAUUAACCUACCACGGUGUCUUUGGACUGUGGAGGGAAACCAGAGCACCCAGAGGAAACCCACGGGACCAUGGGGAGAACAUACUGUACGAGUUCCACAUAGAAAGCUCUGCAGGAAUUAAAGGUGUGAGGCAGCAAUGCUAACCAUUGCAACACUGUGUCGCUGUCAUGACACUUUGAGGUAGAAAUUAAUAUUUUAUAUAUACAACAUACUCCACACAUUCAAAG
rnacentral:lncRNA from 1 species